rnacentral:rRNA from 1 species
CAGUAGCCACGGGAACACGGAGGGUGCAAGCGUUAAUCGGAAUUACUGGGCGUAAAGCGUGCGUAGGCGGUUCGUUAAGUCUGUUGUGAAAGCCCCGGGCUCAACCUGGGAAUGGCAAUGGAUACUGGCGAGCUAGAGUGUGUCAGAGGAUGGUGGAAUUCCCGGUGUAGCGGUGAAAUGCGUAGAGAUCGGGAGGAACAUCAGUGGCGAAGGCGGCCAUCUGGGACAACACUGACGCUGAGGCACGAAAGCGUGGGGAGCAAACAGGAUUAGAUACCCCCGUAGUCCCUGUCUCUUAUAC